UGAUAAUAAUGCGCAUAGUGAUGGGUCGAGUGAUGGGUCGAGUGAUGGGUCGAGUGCGGAAAGCAGCCACCGGAUAACGGAAAGUUCUGAAUACUCGGGAAAAAGUUAGAGAUUUUAAACGGUUCAGAUUACGAGUUUCAAGCAGGUGGUUAUUAUCGUAGACUGUUCCCCGGAGAUGACCCUGCGAUCGAAAGUCGCCCGUCGGUCGACUGUGUGAAAUCGCCGAUGGGCUGUGGCAACGUCAACGACAAAGUGUGUCUGUGCACCGGUGUUAAGCGUUGGGUGUUGUUGGUUUGCGUUGAAUAAAUCACUUUGUACUCUUUCUCAUUCUCCAAACAAAGACCGAACCUGUAGCGGAGUAAAAAAAAAAAAAAAACAAAAACAAAACAGAACAAAGGUAUAAUAAAUAUCAACACAAUACUUGUAUAACGUGCAAUUCUUACAUAUCUAAAUAUGUUUAAUUAUACACAUGGUAGGUAUAUACAUUAUUAUGGUUUUAUAUAGCUAAGAGGCUGAAGCAGUACCCAAUACAAUCUAACGUUGUAAAUGUUUCACCAACAAUUUCACAGAGAAGAAUAAAAAAAAAAGUCAUGCAAUAUUCACGUGCGUAGGUGGAUAAUAAACAGAGUAAUGGUGAAUUUAUUAUAUUGUUGUAAUAGUACACAUUCAGCAUUGGCAUUUGCUCGGCGACCGUAAACAGUCUUUUUUAUAAUUUUACAUUUUUAUUUCAUUUGAUCUCUAUGCUCUAGUUAUUUUAAAAUAUCAAAAAAAGCGCCGCCGCAAUAUAUUACUGCAGGUUGAUUUGCCAACCAUGCUUACCACUAUUUUCACCUUUAAUGAUGAAUUCGUUCAAAUCCUGAUUUUUGGA